UUGGGAGGUAACGGUUCACCAAGGCCACGAUGCAUAGCGACCUGAGAGGUGAUCGCCCCAUUGGGACUGAGACACGGCCCAAACUCCUACGGGAGGCAGCAGUAGGAAUCUUCGGCAAUGGACGAAAGUCUGACCGAGCAACGCCGCGUGAGUGAAGAAGGUUUUCGGAUCGUAAAACUCUGUUGUUAGAGAAGAACAAGGAUGAGAGUAACUGUUCAUCCCUUGACGGUAUCUAACCAGAAAGCCACGGCUAACUACGUGCCAGCAGCCGCGGUAAUACGUAGGUGGCAAGCGUUGUCCGGAUUUAUUGGGCGUAAAGCGAGCGCAGGCGGUUUCUUAAGUCUGAUGUGAAAGCCCCCGGCUCAACCGGGGAGGGUCAUUGGAAACUGGGAGACUUGAGUGCAGAAGAGGAGAGUGGAAUUCCAUGUGUAGCGGUGAAAUGCGUAGAUAUAUGGAGGAACACCAGUGGCGAAGGCGGCUCUCUGGUCUGUAACUGACGCUGAGGCUCGAAAGCGUGGGGAGCAAACAGGAUUAGAUACCCUGGUAGUCCACGCCGUAAACGAUGAGUGCUAAGUGUUGGAGGGUUUCCGCCCUUCAGUGCUGCAGCUAACGCAUUAAGCACUCCGCCUGGGGAGUACGACCGCAAGGUUGAAACUCAAAGGAAUUGACGGGGGCCCGCACAAGCGGUGGAGCAUGUGGUUUAAUUCGAAGCAACGCGAAGAACCUUACCAGGUCUUGACAUCCUUUGACCACUCUAGAGAUAGAGCUUCCCCUUCGGGGGCAAAGUGACAGGUGGUGCAUGGUUGUCGUCAGCUCGUGUCGUGAGAUGUUGGGUUAAGUCCCGCAACGAGCGCAACCCUUAUUGUUAGUUGCCAUCAUUCAGUUGGGCACUCUAGCAAGACUGCCGGUGACAAACCGGAGGAAGGUGGGGAUGACGUCAAAUCAUCAUGCCCCUUAUGACCUGGGCUACACACGUGCUACAAUGGGAAGUACAACGAGUUGCGAAGUCGCGAGGCUAAGCUAAUCUCUUAAAGCUUCUCUCAGUUCGGAUUGCAGGCUGCAACUCGCCUGCAUGAAGCCGGAAUCGCUAGUAAUCGCGGAUCAGCACGCCGCGGUGAAUACGUUCCCGGGCCUUGUACACACCGCCCGUCACACCACGAGAGUUUGUAACACCCGAAGUCGGUGAGGUAACCUUUUGGAGCCAGCCGCCUAA
rnacentral:rRNA from 1 species